rnacentral:rRNA from 1 species
AACGAACGCUGGCGGCAGGCUUAACACAUGCAAGUCGAGCGCCCUGCAAGGGGAGCGGCAGACGGGUGAGUAACGCGUGGGAACGUACCCUUUUCUACGGAAUAACGCAGGGAAACUUGUGCUAAUACCGUAUACGCCCUUUUGGGGAAAGAUUUAUCGGGGAAGGAUCGGCCCGCGUUGGAUUAGCUAGUUGGUGGGGUAACGGCUUACCAAGGCUUCGAUCCGUAGCUGGUCUGAGAGGACGAUCAGCCACACUGGGACUGAGACACGGCCCAGACUCCUACGGGAGGCAGCAGUGGGGAAUCUUGCGCAAUGGGGGCAACCCUGACGCAGCCAUGCCGCGUGAAUGAUGAAGGCCUUAGGGUUGUAAAGUUCUUUUGCCCGUGACGAUGAUGACGGUAACGGGAGAAUAAGCUCCGGCUAACUUCGUG